rnacentral:tRNA from 1 species
CGGGCUGUAGUAUACCGGUAGUACGCACGCUUCGGGUGCGUGUGGACCGGGUUCGAUUCCCGGCAGCCCGA